rnacentral:rRNA from 1 species
AAAAGUCGUAACAAGGUUUCCGUAGGUGAACCUGCGGAAGGAUCAUUAUUGAAUACGUUUGGUUCUGAUGCUGGCAUCCGGUAACCACGGUGCAAGUGCUCGUCCAUCCUAUUUAUCUUCUCUUGUGCACCUCUUGUAGUCUUUGAAAGGAAGUGAACCUCUCGCAGUGAUGCGGUCAGGGGGAAUGGGCGCGAGUCCUUCUCCUGCUUGCUUUUCGUUCAAAGGCUAUGUUUUCAUAUACACUAUAAAGUUACAGAAUGUCUUUUAAAGAUUGUGCUAGUCGCAGUCAUUAAACCUAUACAACUUUCAGCAACGGAUCUCUUGGCUCUCCCAUCGAUGAAGAACGCAGCGAAAUGCGAUAAGUAAUGUGAAUUGCAGAAUUCAGUGAAUCAUCGAAUCUUUGAACGCACCUUGCGCCCUUUGGUAUUCCGAAGGGCAUGCCUGUUUGAGUGUCAUUAAAUUAUCAACCUUGCUCGCUUUUACCGGUUUGAGUUAGGCUUGGAUGUGGGGGUUUUUGCUGGCUUCCUUCAGUGGAUGGUCUGCUCCCCUUAAAUGCAUUAGCGGGAUCUCUUGUGGACCGUCACUUGGUGUGAUAAUUAUCUAUGCCACGUUGACUUUGAAGCAAAACUUAUGGGAAUCCGCUCAUAACCGUCCACUCGUGGACAACUCUUGACAUUUUGACCUCAAAUCAGGUAGGACUACCCGCUGAACUUAAGCAUAUCAAUAAGCGGAGGAAAAGAAACUAACAAGGAUUCCCCU